GAGAAUAAACAUAUUCAUUAUAUAAAUUGAAAAGAAAAGGUAAAAUAGAUCUUAUAGUUCUUGAAAUCCGAAGGUUUCCGUGUCCUUGCAACCAAGAAAAAGAGUUUAGCCUUACAUGUUUAUUGAACAGCUAAUCAAAAAGGAGGAAUGCAUGAUUUCGGGUUUGUGGAGGAGAAGGGGGCGUUUUUCUCUUCUUGGCUGGCUGCCCCCCUUCUCUUCUCUCAUUCUUUUUAUAUCCUAGGAAACCUUAGUCUCUAUUUUACAAAAUAGUCCUCCUUUAAGUAGACAAUUUACAUUUAAGUACUUCAAUAACUAUUUUUCUAAAAAAGAAGAAAUAGCCUUGCAUGAAAUCUUCAAGAUUUGACUUAGAGGAGCUAAAUUGCUGAAAUAAAAACUUGGAUAUCAGUUUAGAUGCUUCAGAACAUAAUUUGGACUCGUUUCUUCACGAAACUUGUUUGCUGGCAGAAUUUAGUUGUCAUCUUUGAAAACUCAUAUCUCCCUCAUAUGAUGUCAUUUGUGGGCUGAAAUUGUGAGCGUUGAUAGACCUUUGAGUCAGGAAUCCAAAACAAUUGAGUUUUCAUCAAUUGGGAUUUCUGUAGCUCCAGAUAUUCAAGUCAGAAUGGCCGAAGGUCAACAUUGGCAGAUUACAAGAUUUGACUUUGAAGGCUGCGAUUUCCAUGCUCUUCCUUAUUUUAUUUUCUUGCCUUAGAUUUACAGAAAGGUAUGGAUGUUAGCUUUUUAAUACCACUAGAAUCACUUCAUUUCGAUCUCUAGAGCUCAUGCUCUGCACAAAACAUCGACUGGAGGUCAAAUCUGCCAAUUACCUUCAAUUUACUCCCUUUUGCAUCUUUCAUCCAAAAGUGUCUUCAAAACAUAAAACAAAGAAUGUCAAGGUAUUUUAUAUAUAAAACAUUGGCAAAACACUAGUUAAAUGUGGGUGAAACUAUCAAAUAAUAUGGUUGCAUCAAUAAUUAAAUAUUAUGACCUAUGUAUAUAUGUACAUAAGUAUUCGCAACAUCCUUUAUCAAACAAUUAUUCUUAAAUGAACCCUUACCUUCAUAAUUCAAUAUCGUUAAUACCAAUUCUAUCGGACAUGCCAUAAAUCAUUACUAGUUUAACUAGAUGUUUAUUCUAUCACUAAACAAUCUAGAUUCUCUAAUUGUCCAUUAACCAGAGCACUACUCCCAUUACUUAGGGAUUUAGUUUCUCUAAUUGUCCAUCAACCAUGGCAUUAAUCUCAUUAACAAGGGUAUUAGUUUCUAUAAUUUCCCAUUCACCAGGGCAACAAUCCCAUUAACCAGGGAAUUCAUUUCUCAAAUAUCUCGUUAACCAGGGUAUUAGUUUAUUCAUCCGCUCAAUAAUCAGGGCAUUAAUCCCAUUAACUUGGGAUUAGUUUCUCAAUCCACCGAGUAAUCAAGACACUUAACCAGGGAUUAGUUUCUACAAUCUACCUUUCAUGCUUCUUAGUUUAAACCAAGAAACAAUUAAAUAAAUUUUCAACUAUUAUUUAAACAAUUAAUUAGUUUCCUUAAAGGUCUUAGGCACCUACCUAACAUUUAUGCAUGUGAAAUAGUCCCCACUGCUGAUUGGGUCUUAUGGCCUCUCCUGUAUCAAAAUAAUCAAUAAAUCACUUAUCAUUCAUCUACCAUAAGGAUCAAUCUCAUUUUCCAUAUAGAUUUGAAUUUCUCACUUUAUUCAUAUUGAAACUUCCACAUUCUUGUCAUUUAUAAUGUUUAUUUCUUUUUUUUUCUUUUUUGCAUUCAAUUCCAUUUGUAAUCGCCACAACCUGAUUUGCGUACUACUUAAGUCAACCAAGUUCAAUAUUCUUACAUAUGCUUGGCUGAAUUCCUUAUCUAUAAAAGGAAUAAAAUCCUAUUUUCGAUUCUUUAUGAUUAUUCUACUCUGAAACCCCUAGAACAACUCAACAAAUUUGUUUAAACAUAACCCCCUAUAUUAAUAAGAUCAAAAUUAAACCCUUCCCUUCAAGGUGGGCUUUGGCCAAACCUAUGGAAAAGAAGAAUGGGAGGAUUUUUCUCCUUUCUUUUGAAAAAUUUCCAUCUUUUCCAUGUAUUAACAUUUAUAAACAUACAAUUUCACACAAUUCUAAUCAAUUGUAUCAAAAUCUCCAAUUCUCCUCUUUGGCUGAAACCGCCAAGUGAUGAGGGAGGAAUUUUUGUUUUUUCCAUUCUUGAAAUUAACUCAUUACCCAACCAUAUUUCAUGAUUAAAAACAUUAUUCAAUCAUAAUUGCAUCAUUUCAAUAAUCAACACCACAAAUCUUAAUUUUCACAUAACCUUAACAAUUGAGAUUCUUCAACAAAAUACAAAAAUCAUUGCAAUUAAUCUCUUUGGAUAAGUCUCUUACCUUAAUAGGAUAAUGUCUCAAAAGAUGAAAGUAAGAAAAUCUAAGUUUCCCCCUCUCUCCCUUUCCAAAUCCUAACCUUGGAAUUUUUCUUCAAAACAACCAACAAAACACUUAAUCUCCUCUUUUGAUUACCUAAUUAUGUUUUAAUCACUCUAAUUAAACCUAUUUUUGAUGGAUUUAGCAAGAAAUAAGAAGAAAAUCAAACAAACAUUCACCCUCUAUUUUAGGAAGUAAAUUGUUGGCCAUGAGAGAAGAAAUUAGGUAUUUUCUAUUAUUUGCACAUUGACCCUUAUUAUUUUAUAUUUUCCUUUUUUCCCCACUAACAUUCCUUCUUAAAUAAUAUGUACCAUAACAUUUUUUUUCUUUAUUUAAUUUCAUCCCUUUCGUAUUAUCUAAAACUUUUUUAUUUAAUCUAACUUGAUUAGGUAUUUAUAAUCUAAUUUUUUCUAUUAUUUACACAUUAACCCCUAUUAUUUUAUAUUUUCCUUUUUUCCCCACUAACAUUCCUUCUUAAAUAAUAUGUACCAUAACAUUUUUUUUCUUUAUUUAAUUUCAUCCCUCUCGUAUUAUCUAAAACUUUUUUAUUUAAUCUAACUUGUGUUUUAUUUCUAGAUUAAAUAAAAUUUUCUUAAUUUCGCUCGGGAUGGGUUUUAAGCUGGUUUUUACAUUCAGACUCACACAACAUAUACAAAUAUCUUUCAUGCAUAAAAGUAUCAUACACAAAAUCAAACAUAUAGAUAACAAAAAAUAUUCAUUAAAAGGUUUGAAAUCGACCUUGCGGGUAAAAAACCUUCAAAGGAUGCUAGAAAAUCUUAUAGAGCCUGCUGAUCAAUUGGACUUGCUGGAAUGAGACGUGUGUGCUCAUCACAUGCCAACUAAAUUAACCUAUAAACAUGUGAGAAACAAAACAGAAAUUUAGUUGCUUUGAUUUCUUUUUUGAUGGCUAGUGUUUGGGUGAACUAAACUUCUAAUUGAAGUUGAUUUUAGUGAGGAAGAGGGUUGGGAUUAUGGUGGGUCAUGGCUAUGUUUUUGUGUCAAGAUCAAGACUAUUUAUGGGCUGGACAAUGGCUUAAACUGAAGAGAUUGUAGGAGAUAGGUGGUUAUGAUUUCAUGAUUAUAAGGUUGAGAUCAGUGAAGAGAAACCUGUGGUGGUGAUUGUUUGUUGAUAAGGGUGGGUUGAAUGGGUUUUGGUCUACUAUGGUCUUGUUUUUGGUUAAUGGAUUUUUGGGUGUUGUUGGUUAUUUUUACUAGGAAAAGAAGGAAAAACUAUGGUUGUUAGGGUCUGUUGGUGAGAAGGAUGAUUGGGUAGUGUGGUACAGGGAUGCUGUGAAAGGUGGAAAAUAUGGAUCUAUAGGACUGGUUAGGAUAGUACUGUGGUGGCUAAGGUUUUAUUUUAUAAAAAAGACAGUGAGCGAUGGUGGGAUGAGGUUGGUGAGUCUUGAAAGGGGUGACCUAUAGUCUUGAGUGAGUUUUUGAAUGGAGGAAAAACCGACUGGGAUUAUAAGGAAAAUGGUAUUGGUGUUUUGGGUUGCAGUUGGGUUUGGUUUGAUUUUGAUUUUGAUGGAGAAUUGAGGUUAAGGAUGACGGGCAAAUGCAUAACUAUGGUGGUUUAUGUGGUUAUGGAAGGUGACAAUAAAGGUGGAUGUUGUUGAGAUUGAAGGAAAGAGAAGAUGAUGGAGUGUUGCAAUGGAGGCUAUGUUGUUUGGGUGAAGUGGAGGUUACUAGGUUUAGGCUGGAGAAAAUGAAGUUGAGUUUUGUUUCCGGGAUAGUGUGCUAUGUGAUUUCAAAAUGCUUGGAUGGUGACUAAGGUUAUUUGUUGAAAAAUAGGUUUUUUUUAAAAAAA
rnacentral:lncRNA from 1 species